AGUGAAUGCUGGCGGUAGGCCUAACACAUGCAAGUCGAACGGCAGCACAGUAAGAGCUUGCUCUUAUGGGUGGCGAGUGGCGGACGGGUGAGGAAUACAUCGGAAUCUACUUUUUCGUGGGGGAUAACGUAGGGAAACUUACGCUAAUACCGCAUACGACCUACGGGUGAAAGCAGGGGAUCUUCGGCCCUUGCGCGAUUGAAUGAGCCGAUGUCGGAUUAGCUAGUUGGCGGGGUAAAGGCCCACCAAGGCGACGAUCCGUAGCUGGUCUGAGAGGAUGAUCAGCCACACUGGAACUGAGACACGGUCCAGACUCCUACGGGAGGCAGCAGUGGGGAAUAUUGGACAAUGGGCGCAAGCCUGAUCCAGCCAUACCGCGUGGGUGAAGAAGGCCUUCGGGUUGUAAAGCCCUUUUGUUGGGAAAGAAAAGCAGCAGGUUAAUACCCCGCUGUUCUGACGGUACCCAAAGAAUAAGCACCGGCUAACUUUGUG
rnacentral:rRNA from 1 species